rnacentral:rRNA from 1 species
GACGAACGCUGGCGGCGUGCUUAACACAUGCAAGUCGAGCGAGGCCCUUCCUUCGGGAAGGUGUCCUAGCGGCGAACGGGUGAGUAACACGUGGGCAACCUGCCCUCAGCUCUGGGAUAACUCCGGGAAACCGGGGCUAAUACCGGAUACGACCUCUAAGGGCAUCCGAAGAGGUGGAAAGUUUUUCGGCUGAGGAUGGGCCCGCGGCCUAUCAGCUUGUUGGUGGGGUGACGGCCUACCAAGGCGACGACGGGUAGCCGGCCUGAGAGGGUGACCGGCCACACUGGGACUGAGACACGGCCCAGACUCCUACGGGAGGCAGCAGUGGGGAAUAUUGCGCAAUGGGCGAAAGCCUGACGCAGCGACGCCGCGUGAGGGACGAAGG